rnacentral:rRNA from 1 species
AAUGCAGCUCUAAGUGGGUGGUAAAUUCCAUCUAAAGCUAAAUAUUGGCGAGAGACCGAUAGCGAACAAGUACAGUGAUGGAAAGAUGAAAAGAACUUUGAAAAGAGAGUGAAAAAGUACGUGAAAUUGUUGAAAGGGAAGGGCUUGAGAUCAGACUUGGUAUUUUGCAAGCUUUACCUUCGUGGUGGAGUCCCCUGCAGUUUACUGGGCCAGCAUCGGUUUGGAUGGUAGGAUAAUGACUUGGGAAUGUGGCUUUGCUUCGGUAAAGUGUUAUAGCCUUUGUUGAUGCUACCUGUCUUAGACCGAGGACUGCAUCUAUGACUAGGA